UACGUAGGUGGCAAGCGUUGUCCGGAUUUACUGGGCGUAAAGAGCGCGCAGGCGGUCGUUCAAGUCGCGUGUGAAAUCCCCGGGCUCAACCUGGGAACUGCAUUUGUGACUGCAUAGCUAGAGUACGGUAGAGGGGGAUGGAAUUCCGCGUGUAGCAGUGAAAUGCGUAGAUAUGCGGAGGAACACCGAUGGCGAAGGCAAUCCCCUGGACCUGUACUGACGCUCAUGCACGAAAGCGUGGGGAGCAAACAGG
rnacentral:rRNA from 1 species